rnacentral:rRNA from 1 species
ACGAUACAACACGCAUUAUUUUACUUAUUUUAGUAUUACAGCUUGUAUACCGUCAUUAUAAGAUAAUUUAAGAGAGAAUAUUAUUGGAAUCAUAUUAUUGAGUAUAUUAGAUCAAGGUGCAGCUUAUAGAUAAGUAAAUAUGGGUUACAAUAAAAGUUAUUUAAUAUGAAUUAAGUAUUUAAAUAUAUUUAUGAAGGAGGAUUUAAUUGUAAGGAGAGGAGUAGUGAGAUUUUCUGAUAAAAGCUCUAAAUUAUGUACAUAUCGCCCGUCGCUCGCGGGAAAAA